ensembl:snoRNA
UCUUCAGUGAUGAACAACGCAGUGACUUUUGUUCUUCUGAAUUUUCUGAAGCCAGUCUUUGUGUAUUGAGAGA